rnacentral:rRNA from 1 species
GACGAACGCUGGCGGCGUGCUUAACACAUGCAAGUCGAACGGAAAGGCCCUGCUUUUGUGGGGUGCUCGAGUGGCGAACGGGUGAGUAACACGUGAGUAACCUGCCCUUGACUUUGGGAUAACUUCAGGAAACUGGGGCUAAUACCGGAUAGGAGCUCCUGCUGCAUGGUGGGGGUUGGAAAGUUUCGGCGGUUGGGGAUGGACUCGCGGCUUAUCAGCUUGUUGGUGGGGUAGUGGCUUACCAAGGCUUUGACGGGUAGCCGGCCUGAGAGGGUGACCGGCCAGAUUGGGAAUGAGACACGGCAGAGAGGACGGCGGGAGGGAGCAGGGGGGAAUGGGGAGGGAUGGGCGGACGCCUGAUGCAGCAACGCGGCGUGCGGGAGGGCAGCGGUCGAGGUAGAAAACGCAAGGGCCUGAGACGAAGAGUGAGGGGCGGAAAUGGAUAGAGAAGAAAUGGCUAACGACAGC